CAUUGUAGACCCCGGGGAAAGGACUGGACCGCGCCGCGUAGACCGUUGGGUGGUCUACGCCCAACUGUAAAGUCGUUUCUUUACCCACAGCGCCCAUCAAGCUGUUGGCCCCACCUCUUCCCAGGGAUCCGUUUAAUUCCUAAUGUGAACCAUUGUGGCCUUCUUUCCUGCCUGAUUCCUGGAAAUGCGGCUCCCAUUUCCAGUUUCCAGAAGAGACUAAUUUAUUAGCGAGUAGCAUGGGCUUCAGAGGUGGAGGAUCCUAAGAUCGCAUGUCAAAUACGUCUUCUUGGGCAAAUUACUGAGUUCGUUUUCUCAUCCAUGAAACAUAGGCAGCUUGGAUUUAUUAGGAGAAAGUCCAUUGCACCAGCAAGUGGAAGUCUAGGAAGAAGCAAAUCCAAGCAGUUAUUUGACUACUUAAUUGUCAUUGAUUUUGAGUCGACAUGUUGGAAUGAAGGGAAACGCCACCAGAGCCAGGAAAUAAUUGAAUUUCCAGCAGUACUUCUGAACACCUCAAAUGGAGAGAUUGAAUCUGAGUUCCAUGCUUACGUUCAGCCUCAGGAACAUCCAAUUCUUUCUGAAUUUUGCAUGGAACUGACAGGCAUAAAGCAGGAUCAAGUUGACGAAGGGGUCCCUCUGAAGAUUUGCUUAUCUCAAUUCUGUAAAUGGAUUCACAAGAUUCAGCAAGAGAAGAAAAUUACUUUUGCUACUGGGAUUUCAGAUCUAUCUACUUCCGAAGUAAAAUUAUGUGCAUUUGUUACUUGGUCAGACUGGGACUUGGGGGUUUGCCUGGAGUAUGAGUGUAAGAGAAAACAGCUGUUGAAACCCGUAUUCUUAAAUUCUUGGAUUGAUCUCAGAGUAACUUACAAGAAAUGUCCUCAUUUAUGUGAUUAGAUUUUCUAUAGGAGAAAACCAAAAGGACUAAGUGGUGCCCUGCAGGAAGUAGGAAUAGAAUUCUUGGGACGAGAACAUUCCGGAUUGGAUGACUCGCGGAAUACGGCCCUUCUUGCCUGGAAAAUGAUCAGGGAUGGUUGCUCGAUGA